UUACGCUUGGAGUCAAAGCAGCGUCACCUGAAGACAGACUCACUGGAGACAUGACCACCGCACAUCUUUCGCUCCACUCUCCCUCCACUAUCUCCAAGAGUAAUUCUCAAUGCUCCACUCCCGGCGUACAAUAGCACCUCCGGCGCAGAAGAAUCAUCACGCCGCCGUUCAUAGUCUGCUCGAACAGAAGCCGAAGCCGAAGCCCAGACGACUACCAUGCCACUCUCAAAGCUCUCAACUCCAAAGGCCGCACCCCAAGGAAAUCUCUUCGCCAGGAUCCCCACAUGGCUGCUAUUUCGAGUGAAAGAUUUGCAAGCACAGACAGGUUGAAGAACUUAAGCAGUGUCAGGUAGGAAUUAACCAUUUGCAAUCUUCAAUGAAUGGCUCUAGAUGCCUACACAAAGAAUUAAUUAUUUACAAUCUUCAGAGCCAGGUUUUGUAGGAAGACUUUGUGAAAUGUCACAUUUGCUCCCAUAUGUUGUCAUUUCUGGGAAGUAUAAAGUUGUUGAAUCAUUCCAAAUCAAGAUAUGCAAAGGCAUGAUACCAGGGAAGGGCUCGCGGGGUGGAACCCACAUCUCAUAGAGAGGAGGAAUACCAGGGAUGAUAAGGGAUAAUUAACUCUACAGCUCACUGGAAUGGGAAAAGUAAUUUCGCAUUACUCCAGUUUUCUCAUAGCAUUAUUUAAGAGAGAACAGGAAGUAAGGCUGAAAUGUAUACAGCUUCCAUGAUUUUUUUUUUUUCAGAAGUUGUUCUUCUACUCCAGCUUAGUAUUCCCUUUUAUUUUCCUGUCUAGAAUUCAGGUAGGUGUUACAUUUAUUUUCAGGAGACAGCAGUGUGCUUGGUGGAAUUGUCCUUGCGGACAUCAGAGUGCCGACCAAUCAAUAUCUUUGUCAAUUUCUAUUCAGCCCGCAGGAACAAACAUCAACCUGACCAUCUGGCAUGGAACUUCUGACCACUGGUUGUUAGCAGUUGCAUCCCUUUCCUUGGCAGUAGUUACUAAAAGAUCUUAGCUAUUGUUUGGAAUACAUCUGAGUCAGGGAAGAGUAGAUUCUUGGUGAUAAUCAUCACCAAGCAUCAAUUCUACUUCUCAUCUUAUUUGUAAUUUAUGUGCAUUACAAAUAAUGUGCUGAUGUACUUAUAUAUACACUCAUCUUAUUAUUGUCGUUACUCUUUUUCUUUUAUUCCUAGAAGACCAAAACUUAUAAUUAUGUUAUA